rnacentral:rRNA from 1 species
AUGAGCGUGGAAGACGAGGUGCUGGGGGAGGAGGGGGAGGAGGACACGGAGGAGCUCUUCUACGAGUCGCUCGACCGCAUCCUCUCCUCCUCGGCCUCCUCCACCUCCGCCUCCGCCUCGGACGACGACGGCGCCGACCUCCCGCGCCGCAGCCGCCGCUACGAUGCCGCCGCGCUCGACCUCUGGACCUCCCAGCCGGCGCCCAUCCAGGAGCGCCGCCACCGCCUGCUCCAGCUGAUGGGGCUCGCGGGGGACCCUUCCCUCGCGCGAUUCGAGAUGGGCCGAUCCGCCUCCUGCGACGACGUGGGGCCGCGGCCGGCUUCUCCCGUCUCGCGGUCCAGAUCGGGCGGGGCCUCCACGGCGAAGCCUCCGGUUGGAGGCGGCCGUUUGCGCCCCACCUCGCCCGACGCAUCAGAUGCCAGUGCCACGCUGGAGGCGGUCGAGGAGGACCCAAGCUGCUUGAUCAGAAACCUCGACGACGGCAGCGAGUUCGUGGUGAGGGAGGAGUUCGGGCUCCGCGAGGUUGGUACCGGCCGCCAGCUUACUGUGGAGGAGUUCGAGCUAUUCAUCGGCCGCUCCCCCAUCGUCCAGGAGCUCAUGCGCCGCCAAAGCGUCACCAACUCCAACCCAAACUCCAAUUCCCAAAGUGGCGCCUCAACCCCCAUGGAGAGGUCCAGCUCCGGCUCCAGCAAUGGCGGGGCGCGUUCUAGGCGGCGCAGCAGCUGGCUCCACACCAUCCGCAGUGCGGCUGGCUCCAUGGUCACCUAUUCACGUGACCGCCGCGGCGACGACAAGGACACGUCCUCAGAGAAGGGUGGCCGCCACUCCAGCUCGGCUACGGAAGACAGCCAGGAUGGUGUUGCACGCCAUGGUCCAGACCGUGUCAAGGUGCGCCACAACGGCAAGUCAUACAAGGAGCUCACUGGCCUGUUCAUGAACCAGCAGAUACAUGGGCACAAAGGGUCCAUCUGGAGCAUCAAGUUUAGUCCUGAUGGGCGAUACCUUGCAACUGCUGGAGAGGAUUGCGUGAUCCAUAUUUGGGAGGUGUUGCACUCCGGAAUGAUGAAGGAGGAGAGGGAGGUGGAAGAUAAUGGGACCUGCAAUCCUUUCGCUGCCAUGGUAUGUGAUGAGUCACCGGAGCCAAUGUUAGCAUCGGUGGCUACAGAGGGCAGCCAUUGGGAGAAGAGGCUGCCGGCAAAGGAUCUGCACAGUCGGAGAUCUGGGGGCUCAGACCAGUUGAUGGUGCCAGAGCAUGUGUUUGCACUGUCUGAGAAGCCUGUUAUAACCUUCGCAGGGCAUUUAAAGGAUGUGCUUGAUCUCUGCUGGUCCAAAUCUCAGUACUUGCUUUCAUCAUCAAUGGAUAAAACUGUACGGUUGUGGCACAUGUCAAGCACUUACUGUUUGAAAGCCUUCUCCCACAGUGACUAUGUGACUUGCAUCCAGUUCAACCCUGUUGAUGAUAGAUACUUCAUUAGUGGUUCUCUGGAUGAGAAGGUUCGAAUCUGGAGUAUACCGAAACGUGAAAUUGUUGAUUGGGUUGAUCUACAUGAAAUGAUUACUGCCGCAUGUUAUUCCCCCGAUGGACAGAGUGCACUCAUUGGCUCCCACAAGGGCAAUUGCCACGUGUAUGACACGUCUGAUAAUAUGCUUUCUUACAAGAAACAAAUUGACCUGCAACUCAAGAAAAAGAGAUCCAGUCAGAAGAAAAUCACAGGAUUCCAGUUUAUCCCAGGAAGUUCGUCAAAGGUCAUUGUCACAUCUGCGGACUCAAGAAUCCGAGUUGUUGAUGGCUUCGAACUACUUCACAAGUUUAAAGGGUUUCAGAACACCAGCAGCCAAAUCUCAGCUUGUUCAGCUGCAAACGGGAGGUACAUUAUUUCUGCGAGUGAGGAUUCACGUGUAUAUAUCUGGAGAUACAGUGAUGAUUCCAAACCAAGCAGAAAGAAGAGCAUUGUUCCUGUCACAAAUACCCAUGAGAACUUCCGCUGCGAGAGAGUAACAGUUGCUGUUGCUUGGCCUUGUGCCAGCGCCAGAAUGACUAAUAAAGCUAACUCCAGGAAGCAAGAUAACCUGGACUGUGUGGCUGGUAAUGGUCAUGUACUUGGAUCCGAACCUGCUAAAGAGGAUGAGAUUCCUGCUGUUCAGGACCAGAGCAACAAUUUAUGUAACAAUGGCGCGACUUGGCCCGAAGAGUUGAUGACAAAAACAAAACAAAGCCCCAAGUCUAAUACAACCCAUCCCGGUGAUGUAGAUCAAGCUCCGAGUCCGCCGGCCUGGGGCUUAGUGAUCGUGACAGCAGGCCAUGAUGGUCAAAUCAGAACAUAUCAGAACUUCGGUUUUCCAAGUAUAACGUCGAUCUGA